rnacentral:rRNA from 1 species
UACGAAGGGGGCUAGCGUUGCUCGGAAUUACUGGGCGUAAAGCGCACGUAGGCGGAUUGUUAAGUCGGGGGUGAAAUCCUGGAGCUCAACUCCAGAACUGCCUUCGAUACUGGCGAUCUAGAGUCCGGGAGAGGUGAGUGGAACUGCGAGUGUAGAGGUGAAAUUCGUAGAUAUUCGCAAGAACACCAGUGGCGAAGGCGGCUCACUGGCCCGAUACUGACGCUGAGGCACGAAAGCGUGGGGGAGCAAACAGG